rnacentral:lncRNA from 1 species
CAGAAAGUUCGAAGUGUUAUUUCUGUGUGAAACCAUUAUCAUUACAUGACUAAAAGCGUGUGCUUUCCAAAAGCAAAACCUGGAAUACCAAAAAUUAUAUUGUUAAAUAUCAUGCGUGCAUAUUUAUUUUGGUGGCUCCUAAUGCUUGUUAGUGGGAAUGCACCAUUCACAGUGAAAUAUGGACCUGUCAUUCUUAUUAUUAUAAUCGGUCUUCGGUAUAUUGUCAAGUGACAUGAUCCAACACUCUUUGCAAGUUAUGGUAACCCUGAUUGAUUUAUCCAUGCAUGCUAGCACAUCUAUAUUUUUCCCCUCUGCACAUACCUUUAUACCACGUUAGAUAGAUAUGAGUUAAACAAUUAACUGAGAAUAAAAUUUGCAUGUUUCUUAGCUGAACUUGCAACAAUUUGAAAGUCUAUCUGCAAAAUACGUAAUUAAAGACUAAUAGAACUACUGGGAUAACGCAAACAAGUUACACCUUUAGUCCACUUAAGCAAGGAUGCAUGUGAGUGUAUUCAAAUAUCACUAUUUACAAUACUAAUAAACACUAUUUUGACACUGUUUAUUUUCUUGAUGGUAUCAAUCAGUGAACCAAGGUCUGGCAACCUUAGCAUUCUUUGGAGUAGGAGUGAACCUAGUGUUAUUCCUGACAAGAGUGAUGGGGCAGAACAAUGCUGAUGCUGCAAACAGUGUUAGCAAAUGGACUGGAACAGUAUACAUCUUCUCUCUUGUGGGUGCCUUCCUAAGUGACUCUUACUGGGGAAGGUACAAAACUUGUGCAGUCUUUCAGGUCAUUUUUGUGAUAGUAAGUAAUAUCCUCUUGAUUUCAUUUCAUUUCCUUAUUCUCCCUCUUUAAUUUCAAGAUAAUGCAUUCCUCGGGUAAUUAACUAAUAUUCUGUUUUGAAAUAACAGGGCCUGGUGUCCUUGUCCCUUUCAUCGUACAUCUCCUUGAUUAGGCCGAAAGGUUGUGGAAAUGAAACUAUUUCAUGUGGGAAACAUUCAAGCUUGGAGAUGGGGAUGUUCUACCUCUCGAUCUAUCUCAUUGCUUUGGGGAAUGGAGGGUAUCAGCCAAAUAUCGCCACAUUUGGAGCUGACCAGUUUGACGAGGAGCACUCAAAGGAGGGUUAUUCAAAGGUUGCCUUCUUUAGCUACUUCUACUUGGCUUUGAACCUUGGUUCACUCUUCUCAAACACAAUUCUGGGAUACUUUGAAGAUGAAGGAUUGUGGGCACUUGGGUUCUGGGCGUCUGCGGGUUCUGCUUUUGCUGCCCUUGUUUUAUUUCUUCUUGGGACCCCAAGAUAUAGACACUUCAAACCCAGUGGCAAUCCUCUUUCAAGGUUCGGCCAAGUCCUUGUUGCUGCAUUAAGGAAAUGGGGAGCUCAUACGACAUCAAAUGAAGAGGAUCUAUAUGUCAUGGAUGAAAAUGAAUCUCCCACUAAUGGCAACAGAAAGAUUCUUCACACCGACGGAUUCAAGUAAGUAUUAGAAGCUAUUUCCAGAUGAAACCACAUAUAUUUAAAUACUUCUGGAUAUAAUUCAUGUUAAUACCUUUUACUUAUAGACCAGAGGUUGCAUGGAAUGCUUUUACUGUAUUGAUGUCAUCAAUUAAUCAUUUUGCUUAGACCAUGGCACAACUUAAAAAUUAAACACCAAACACUUUCUGAAUAAUUGGUGUCAUUCUUCAUUCUACCAAGCUAUAAAAAUUUGAUCAAUUUGACAUUGGUCAUCUGCUUUGCAGGUUUCUGGACAGAGCAGCAUUUAUAUCUACCAGAGAUCUAGAAGACCAAAAAAGAGGCCUUCAUAACCCCUGGCGUCUCUGUCCUAUAACUCAAGUUGAAGAAGUGAAGUGUAUACUAAGACUUCUUCCAAUUUGGCUCUGCACCAUAAUCUACUCAGUGGUUUUCACACAAAUGGCUUCUCUUUUUGUAGAACAAGGAGCUGCCAUGAAAACUACAAUUUCCCAUUUUAGAAUACCGCCUGCAAGCAUGUCUAGCUUUGACAUCCUCAGCGUAGCAGUCUUCAUUUUCUUCUACCGUAGAGUGAUUGAUCCACUAGUGGGACGACUUAAAAAGACAAGUUCCAAAGGUCUUACUGAGCUUCAGAGAAUGGGAAUUGGGCUUGUUAUAGCUGUAAUGGCAAUGGUUUCAGCUGGAAUAGUUGAAUGCUACAGGCUUAAAUAUGCAAAAUCAGGAUGCCCCCACUGCAGUGGGACAAGCUCUCUAAGCAUCUUUUGGCAAAUUCCUCAAUAUGCACUUAUCGGAGCUUCUGAAGUUUUUAUGUAUGUAGGCCAGCUAGAGUUCUUCAAUGCUCAAACACCAGAUGGUUUAAAAAGCUUUGGAAGUGCCCUUUGCAUGACGUCCAUCUCUCUUGGGAACUAUGUAAGUAGCUUAAUUGUUAGUAUCGUUAUGAAGAUCUCCACCGAGGAUCACAUGCCAGGGUGGAUCCCUGGAAACUUAAACAGAGGUCACCUAGAUAGGUUUUACUUCCUCUUAGCUGCCUUGACAUCAAUAGACUUGAUCGUUUAUAUUGUAUGUGCAAAGUGGUUCAAGAGUAUACAGCUGGAAGGGAAAUACGAAGAGAAUGAUAUGCCUGGUAGCUAUAAAGUAUAAUUUGCGAUGGACAACCAACAAAGGCUACGAUAACAGCAUAUAUAAAUAAGAGAAAGAAGGGAUCAACUAGUCAAAUUAACUUGAGCUAUAGUUGCUGUCGGAAGAAAAACUGGCUGGCUUCGGUUAGAGAAGCCCUUUUACCCGAGUCUCUUAUAACUAGUCAUUGUUUUCGUUCAGCUAACGGUUUGUUUGGUUUGAGAAAACCUUUUUGUUUUCAUUUUUGUAUAUGCAAAUAAUUACUCAGAUGUUACCUUCUCUCCAUUUGUAUCCUUGCUUUCAAAAUUUUGUAUGGCAACCAGCUCUUGUACAAAAUUUUGAAAUCUAAAUAAAGUGGAAAUAAGGUAUCAUUUUUGUAAAUAUUUAUGAAACUGAAAACAAUAAUCUUUUCACAAACCAAACAAAGCCUAUAUUUUCAGUUUAUGUUUUUGUAUCCAGGUUGUGUAAAACUAGAGUUUUUGAAGAGACAAUGACAGUUUCAGGGCCACUCUAAGUCUCCUUUCUUUGAGUCUUUGUAAGUUCCAUUGUUAACACUGAAUAUAUAUCAUUUUAAUUUCCAGGGUUGAAAUAUUAUUCUCCUAUUACCAGCUAUUUACAGAUCCUACCUACUGUAUGCCUCUCCUCCCAGCACUAACACAAGUUUUUAGCAUUCAUGCUUAGAAGUGGAACAGGACAAACAUUGCAAUUAUGGGCAAUCAAUUAACUAAAAAAACUGAGGGAUUUCUUUUACAUCCUAAUUUAGAUGAGUGACUGCAUAGCAUAGACAGAAUAACUUAUAAACAAUCAUUCAUAUUAAAAAAAAAUAAUAAUAAAAAACAAGAAAAUCAAGUGUCUGGUGGAAAACUAACUUCCGAGUGCCAGAGGCUCCUAGCUUUGCAAAGAUAUAGGAGAGAGUCAUUGCAUGUAAUCUUUCACUUUAAUAUGUAAAAAUACUGUGUCUAGAUUUAGACACAUAAUCAUCUGGUCGUGAAGACACAAACCUUACCAUCGUCUCAUGACUCACUCUCAAACAAGAGUAGUGUAUAUGACUACUUGAAUACAUCUAAACCAACCAACGACAUAUAUUGCUGCAACUUACAAACAUUUUGUGGAAUACCUCAAAUCAAAUUAACUGUAGAAGCAUCUACCACAAAAAAGAUAAUUCGAUAAUAGAGAGAAAUCACAAACAAAAUAGGUAGAAGAUAUACAAAGACGAACCAGAAAGAAUCGCACAAAAAUAAUAAGAUUCAAUUGAAGCAAUACCGAACUUCAAUCUACAUCCAAGAUAAAAUCCACUAUGAACAGAUAUCACAAUUUGAAGUUUCUCUCUCAGAUAACUCGUGCUCUAUUGUCACAGUUUUUGUUAUUAUACUUGAACAAUAACUCUCAAUUAAUAGUAAUUUAUGAUAUGUGUUGUUAUAUAUAUAACAUAACCAUAUCUAAUUAUCAUGAAACACGUCUAAACUAAUCAAGAAGACGUCAUUUAGGCGGUUUCUCCGAAUAGUUAAUCUCAAUAGACAUUAAGAGACUAAACAUUCCACCAAGACUAUCCUCCAUAUUGAUACUAGAAGAUAUACAUCUACUAGACAGUCUGAUGCAGUUAGACAGUUUAGGAACCGCGUCAAAAUUGUAAAGAAACAAUCUUCACAAAUCUCUAACUUGGUAUAGCAUAAAUCUUCUCACUAAAAAUGACUAGCUACCAGUGAGCCCUUUGCAGGCUUAAUCAACCAUUAGUUUGAUCAAAUCCAAGCAAUGAAAGAACUUUCUUCCUAAUAGAAGGUUCGUAAACAUAUUAGAGGGAUUAUGAUUUGUGAUACUUUCAUCACCUUCACAUAUCCUCGAGCAAUCUCCUAUCUUAUGAAAUGUAGCUUUGUAGCAUUGUUGUUACCACAAUAGACAUUAACAACAUGUCUUGCACAUUCAGCUCUCUAGAUAGACCUUGUAGCCAUCACACUUCCUUCACUUGCUUUGGUCAUGGUAAUGUACUUUGUUUCACUGGUUGACAAAGUCACUACCUUUUCUAGAUUGACCUUCUAGCUUAUUGCAGUACCAUACAUACUAAACACAGCCUAUGAGAAACUUUUAGGUGUCCAAGCACAUAAAGUAGUCCAAGUCAACAUAACAUUCUACGGGACCAUCCUUGGCAUAUCGUCUAGCUCCAUGAAAAACUAAAACUCUUCCAAGCAAUCUCUUCAAAUAAUAAAGAAUCCACCUGAGAGCUUAAGAGUGAGCUUCACUACCAUUUAACAAGAACCUACUAACAACACUCUCAAUAACUACCGUGAAAUGUGUCUAAACUAAUGGAUUAGACACAUGAAUAGUAAAUCCUCCUAUUGCAAUGGAACGUUGGUAAGGUGGCUUCUCCAAAGGGUACUAACCUCAGUAGACACGAAAAGACUAGACUUUCUAUUGAAAAUAUCCACACUGAUACUAAAAGGUAAACAUCUUGUACUGGAUGAUAUGGUACAAUUAGAUAGUCUAGUUUAGAUAAUCUAGUACAAUUAGAUGGUCUAGGAACCUUGCCAAGAUUUUACUGAACCAAUCUUCACAAACAAAAACAAACAUAACCAGCAACUUAACAAAAAAAUACACUUAAGGGAGCCGUGAUACCCUAAAUACACUUAAGGAAGAUUUUUUGCAGGGAAAAGAGGUAUUGAUAUAUGAAAGUUAACGAGACACGCUUUUGUUUUUGGUACAUAAGAAAGUAAAAGAAAACUAACAGAAGCUAAGCCAAAACUGUGUCCUAGAGCAGAGCAAAGAUCAUCUGGUGGUUUAAGUCAGGUUUUGAACGUAAUUCUGCUUCGGGAUGCCCUUUUUGCCUGUAAAUCUAGCCACAUUUACUUCUCUAUGACAAAUUCCAGCAACAUUUGCCAAUGUCAACUCAACAACCCCUUUGUCUCCAAAAUUAAGGUCAUAUUGGCAUGUACCCUCACAUCAGCAAUAUAAAAAAUAUUAAUCAUUUCCAUAAAGUCGCUCUCAGAAAUUAUCUUUUUAUAACUAAGAUCCUAUCCCAUACAAAGACCGUGUUUCAGGGCGCAACCUCCUUGUAGAGAUUUAGAAAAGUCACACAACCAUCUACCAAUACCAUUUCUGAAUCAUCCUCCUAUACCCUGACACAGUGAGUGCGGGAUGAAACUUCCAUCUGUAUUCUGUUUCGAGUACAGAUUUGGAGGUGGUAUCGAGGCCGGAUCCGAGUAGUCUGAAAUUUGUUUGGAGGCGCACCAAGUACGGAGUCAAAUAUUGCAAAAUUGAAAUAGUAAUAAACCGAGAAGUGCAGUGUUUAUAUUUCAUUGACCUUUUAUGUUUCUAGCCAAGUUUUUUUGAAAAUUUGAGGGCGAUAAAUCGUGGGAACAUACUGAGGCACAUGUUAUAAUAGAGGAAUUGAAGACGAUGAGAAUAACUUUGCAACCAUCCUAUCAGAAGAGUUAUCACCAGAAUCUAUCAAACCAAAAGAUUGUUGAUUUUGAAAAAUACACAGAUGAAUCUAUGAGUUAAGGUUUUAACAUUGUUUAUGAGAAAAAAAUGAGAGAGAGAGAAUGGAAUUCUCUGGUAGCGAAGUAAAAGACGAUAUUGUAGAUUACCUCCAAUUCAACGAACGAAUAUUAGAACCAAAGAGUGGAGAUAGCUAUUAGAUUAGGGGAAAGGAAGUGGAAGGGAGAAACAGAGAAGGGUUUCGAAAAACA